ensembl:lncRNA
GUGGACUGGUCUUUACUGGAGGACCUGGUGUGUCCUUGUGGACUGUCUCUGCUGGAGGACCUGGUGUGUCCUCGUGGACCGGUCUCUGCUGGAGGACCUGGUGUGUCCUCGGUGGACUGGUCUCUGCUGGAGGACCUGGCGUGUCCUCGUGGACCGGUCUCUGCUGGAGGACAUGAUGUGUCCUCGUGGACUGUCCUCCAGCGGGCGAAACCACGUCCAGCAGCAGCGCCAAUUAGCCACGCGGGAGUCGGAGGACCUCCCCAAUGACGUCCAUCUCCUUUUAUUAAUCUCUUGUGGUGUGGCGUUAUUACCGGGGUGCCGUGGUCGUCCAAAAGACAACAAGAGCAUUAUUACCAUGAUUUAUGGAUCAUAUUUGAGCCUUAAAUAAGGAGCCAAUUUAGCUUAGCACGAGGAUUGUAAAGAAACAAACUAGCCUGCCGGCUGCUUCACAGUGUUCUUGAAAUGUGAAGGUUGAUCACGUGACCCCGGCGUGUGUGUGCUGUGUCAUUAAGGCUCUGUUUGUGUUCCGAGGUACUAUACAGACAUAUUGAUUGUUUACAUAUACAAUAAUGUAUUUCCUUUUGUAACGCGGGACUGCAGACGGCAACGCACAGCCACGAGAACACAAAGGUCAUUAAGUGUCCUCUUCAUGUUACACAUUAGCUCCAUGCUAAUAGAUUUUAUGUAAAGGAGCUAUAUUUAGAAAUAGGCUUACGGCACUCAGGCUUACGUAAGCCGAUCAGACAGCGGCGCACAUUUUCAUGUGAUGAUUUUUCACAGGAGAGCUCAUGAGAAAUGGAUUGUGUACUUUAAUGUGCGCGGAGAAGCGACGCAGGACAUCCUGAUGUCACAGGCUGAAGAGAGGAAGUGGACGCAGCCGCCGUGACGCCUCCCGCCGCCGCGUGGAAGGACGUUUUGAGGCCUCUACUUCACUGAUUUGGCCGUCGCCAUGUUGUUUUUUUGCCACCGGGGCAACGGAAGUGACCAUAUUUGGACUGCAGAAGAGUUACAGAGACGCUUCCAGAGCAAAUUGCUGAGCUUCAGUUCUGCCGAGGACGACGUGUCUGAUCUCGGGUGAAGUUUGUUCAAUCGGGUUAAAAGUAUGACUCAUUCACUCCACACAGAUUUCACAACAGCAUAACGACAGUUUGGUAAGUGACCAGUUAUGUGGUAAGAUGCAUUAGAACAAAUUGUUACGCCAGCACGCGGUUUUCCAACAACACCCUGUUGUUCACCUGUCAGUCGAGCUUUGAUGGAUCGUUUCCUCAUUACAGUUGGACGUCUCACGUGUCAGCCUCGCGUCAGUGACGAGCCGGUACGUCAGCAGGACAUCGAGCAAUGCGACGCGUCCUGCGAUGUGAACUCGAUCCGGAUCAGGAAAUGAAGCAACGAUCUGGCAAAGGUUUCCUCCAAAGUCGUGCGAGAGGAGCAGCCGCUCCGUGACCUGUGGAGGUGUCUGCUGUCCGCGUUGCCGCCAGAGGUCCGACAAGCUGACGGCAUCGGCGGCUGUGAUACUAAUUAUUUAGGAAGCACAUCGUCCAAAUCCACUGGAGAAAUGACGUGUGAGCCCGGGGGGGUUCAGACACAUGACAGGAGGCAGGUGGGCAG